AUUGAACGCUGGCGGCAUGCCUUACACAUGCAAGUCGAACGGCAGCACGGGAGCAAUCCUGGUGGCGAGUGGCGAACGGGUGAGUAAUAUAUCGGAACGUGCCCAGUCGUGGGGGAUAACGUAGCGAAAGCUACGCUAAUACCGCAUACGAUCUAUGGAUGAAAGCGGGGGAUCGCAAGACCUCGCGCGAUUGGAGCGGCCGAUAUCAGAUUAGGUAGUUGGUGAGGUAAAGGGCUCACCAAGCCGACGAUCUGUAGCUGGUCUGAGAGGAUGAUCAGCCACACUGGGACUGAGACACGGCCCAGACUCCUACGGGAGGCAGCAGUGGGGAAUAUUGGACAAUGGGCGAAAGACCUGAUCCAGCAAUGCCGCGUGAGUGAUGAAGGCCUUAGGGUUGUAAAGCUCUUUUGUUACGGAACGAAAGGUUUACUAUUAAUACUAGGAGCUCAUGACGGUACCGUAAGAGUAAGCACCGGCU
rnacentral:rRNA from 1 species